rnacentral:rRNA from 1 species
UACGUAGGUUGCAAGCGUUAUUCGGAAUUACUGGGCGUAAAGCGCUCGUAGGCGGAUAUUUAAGUCGAUUGUGAAAGCCCUGGGCUUAACCUGGGAACUGCAGUCGAUACUGGGUAUCUAGAGUAUGGUAGAGGAUAGUGGAAUUCCCGGUGUAGCAGUGAAAUGCGUAGAUAUCCAAAGGAAGACCGGUGGCGAAAGCGGCGCGCUGGACCUCUACUGACGCUGAGGCGCGAAAGCCAGGGGAGCAAACGGG